GUUGACUUUAUUAAAUGAUGAGAAAAUGAUGUAAGCUCUUAGUGAUAAAUCCAGCAAUAAAAUAAUAGUUUGUCAAUGAAUUAUCAGGCAUCACUCUCAUGUUUACUGCUACUGUUUGACAUAAUAAAAAUAACACAAUACUGGUUAUCAAAUAAUGCAAUAUAAGUAGGAAUUGUUUAUUAGCAUACAAUUUUCCAUAAAUUAAAAGGAUGCUUUAAUAUCUAAGACAAAUAGCCUAUUGAAUGGCAAAGUCUUGAGGUUUUUUUUUUUUUUUAUCAAUUCCAUUUAAAUUAUGCCCUUUAAUGUCUUUCUAGCCCAAAAAUAUACUUCAGUAACUCAUAGUGUUGCCUUUAACUCAGACUUUUAAACUCAUUUUUAAGGUUAACAAAAUGUUUUUGAAAUUAUAUGUUUGUGAUCUAAAAAUAAAAUAAAAUUUAAAAACAAAAGGAAAAACCUUAUACCAUGUUCUUAAGCAAUUUUCUUGACCUAUUUUAACUCAAAAUUUCUCUUUUACCUAAAUGAGAUUUAGUUGUUUAAGGAAGGCAUUUCCAAUGCUAAGGUUUUUAAAAUCUAUUUACUCUAGUGAGUCUUUACUGAAUACCCCGCCUUCAAUAUCUCUUCAGUCCAAAGUAGACUUCUUAUACUUACUAAAAAGAUCAAAAUCCUGUGCUGGCUUCCCAGUGUUUAAGACUCUAAUAUUUACAGUUUUCUACAGAGACACAGAACUUCCUAGAAGCAAAUAGAAGUUUUAAAGAAGUUUAGCAUCUGGCUAGGAGAAGAAGAAAA